rnacentral:rRNA from 1 species
UAAUGUAUGGGGAUCUGCCCGAUAGAGGGGGAUAACUACUGGAAACGGUGGCUAAUACCGCAUAAUGUCUACGGACCAAAGCAGGGGCUCUUCGGACCUUGCACAUCGGAUGAACCCAUAUGGGAUUAGCUAGUAGGUGGGGUAAAGGCUCACCUAGGCGACGAUCUCUAGCUGGUCUGAGAGGAUGAUCAGCCACACUGGGACUGAGACACGGCCCAG